GUUACAACAAAGGGGUGCCGCUUCAUGUGGCUGAGAUUCAUACCCUCUGAACCUGAUACGGUUAGCACCGGCGCAGGGAUUGUUAGAGACCAACAC
rfam:Bacteroides sp. CAG:927 genomic scaffold, scf63